rnacentral:rRNA from 1 species
GUGUCAGCAGCCGCGGUAAUACAGAGGGUGCAAGCGUUAAUCGGAGUUACUGGGCGUAAAGGGCGCGUAGGUGGUUGUACAAGUGAGGUGUGAAAUCCCUGGGCUUAACCUAGGAAUUGCACUUUAGACUGUAUAGCUGGAGUGCAGUAGAGGGUAGUGGAAUUUCCGGUGUAGCGGUGAAAUGCGUAGAGAUCGGAAGGAACACCAGUGGCGAAGGCGACUACCUGGACUGCAACUGACACUGAGGCGCGAAAGCGUGGGGAGCAAACAGGAUUAGAUACCCCCGUAGUCC